UGUGUUGUGGAAUCCAGUUAGGUACAGGACUGUUUUUCACCUGACUUAGAUGCAAAGGACACGAUCCCCAAAAGAGUAUCGCUUCAGUGAUGCGCUCAGAAUAAAAACGUCUGUUUAAGGAAGGACAAUAUCACAGCACUCGCUCUCUCAGAAUGAGUGAAUCAUUCCGGCUGCGCAGCGGGGGACUGCACACCGUGUCACAUUCGAGAAGGUGAUACCCGACCUCGCAGAUAACAGUACCGGCAACGUGCAACCCGGAGUGCUCCGCAAUGUCCAAGGACCCAGAAGAAGGGAGGACUGAGGCGUCGAGGCGCAGAAACGCCGCUUGUCCUCCACCCCUGGAAUCGACACAGAAGUCAUGUGCUGCGCCGCUGCACCCCAGCUCCAGCUGGGCAUAAUAAAGAGGCUGCAGAAACAAAGCAGCCCCACCGCAGCCCUAAAAAAAAAAAGGUCGCCCUCUAAUUAAUACUCUUGGCAAAGUGUCCCUUCGUGAGAAAUUACAGUGAUAUAUAUGUGCUGCAAUCAACAUGCCCCAAGC